rnacentral:rRNA from 1 species
AGCGAACGCUGGCGGCAGGCUUAACACAUGCAAGUCGAACGCCCCGCAAGGGGAGUGGCAGACGGGUGAGUAACACGUGGGAACGUACCCUUUGGUUCGGAAUAACUUGGGGAAACUCAAGCUAAUACCGGAUAAGCCCUUAUGGGGAAAGGUUUACUGCCGAAGGAUCGGCCCGCGUCUGAUUAGCUAGUUGGUGAGGUAACGGCUCACCAAGGCGACGAUCAGUAGGUGGUCUGAGAGGAUGAUCAGCCACACUGGGACUGAGACACGGCCCAGACUCCUACGGGAGGCAGCAGUGGGGAAUAUUGGACAAUGGGGGCAACCCUGAUCCAGCCAUGCCGCGUGAGUGAUGAAGGCCUUAGGGUUGUAAAGCUCUUUUACCCGGGACGAUAAUGACUGUACCGGGAGAAUAAGCCCCGGCUAACUUCGUGCCAGCCGCCGCGGUAA